rnacentral:lncRNA from 1 species
UUUAAAUGAAAUAUUAUUAAUAAUAAAAUAAUUAAGAUAAUAAAUAAAAACCCAAAAAAGUACUUAAAUUAAAACUUAACUUGACAUACAACAAUUUUCUUAACAUCUGAUACAAAAACAUCUUCCAAAAGGCUUAAUAAGUGUGACAUUGCACUAGUCUAACAUUGCACUGGUAAUCACUUGAAACGUAAAACUUUCAAAUUAAGUACUUGUUGGGAAAAUAAUACAAAACUUGAUUCUGGAUGAACUUUGCAUAAAAUCUCUUCUUGUUGGUCCAUCUAGCGAAUAAUUACCUGUCAUAUGAUAAUGAUACAUCAUACAAAAUUUUGAUAAAUUAAAAGAGUUGUAUAAUUUUUUAAUAAUAAUUAGCUCUAAAAAGUUUAAAAGCAAUACCUGCGAGUGCAACUCCCAUAAUCCCUGAAAUAAGUUACUUGAGUGUUAUUAGCCAAUAAGAAUAUCAUCUACAAAAGUGUGUAUUGUUUUAAUGCAUUCGGUGUCGUCUCUCGAACUCCCUUGAAAAAACAUUAACUUCUUUUAAACAAGUCGUUUUUACUUAGAUUAAAACAUUGAAUACCAUUAAAACCAAAACCACAUAUGAUGCAUAGGCUAAAUAGUGCACAAAAGUUGUAGAAUACCAAAGCAUAAAAUUUUUGUUGGGUGCCCUCUUAUUGGAAAAAAGUUUACGUGAUCAACACUACAGCUAAUAAGCCAGAUAACAAAGCACACCAUCCUUCUAUAGGCUAUUCUCUUAUUGCAAAAAACAUGAGUCACGUAAAGCAAUAAUACUUAUUGGUCAUAUUAAAAUUAAUAAUUGUUAUGAUUGUAAACUUACACUUGUUUUAAUUUUUAAUCAGAAUCUAGUAAGCCACACAUAUUAAAUGGGUAAAUGCUUUUCAAAAUUGUGAAAACAUCGGACAAGUUAACCAUGUUGAUAAAAAUCAAAUAAUUUCACAAUGGAGUUAGCAUGAUGUUCAAAAACAAUUUAUUAAUGUCGAUAGUGAAAGCGAAAAAUGGCAUUAAACUACUUGAGAUUUUUAGGUACGACAUUCUGUUAGACAAUUUGGCAAACACAUUGUGAGCAUCAAAAUAGAUUAUGUUAAGAACAUCAAUAUAUUCAAUAUUUAAAAUAGAAGAACUUACCUAGAACAAUUCCUUCUUCCACAUUUGUCCUUGUAGCGUGAAGAGCAUCAGUAACCUUAUCUUUUCUUUCUUAACUUCUUCCACAACUUCCCUUGUAGCCUUAAAAAACAUGAAUUAGACUAAAAGUGGAGAUGUAAUCCAGCUUUUUUAAUACCCAUAAAAAGAAACCCAUCAAAAAUAUAUUAAUAUCACAAAAAUACUAGCCAAAAUGUAGCAGAACACUAAAAUGUCGGUCCAAUGGAGAGUUUAUCACUACAAAACAUAAUUAAAAAAAAUAGCAGACAUUUGGAGAAACCCUAAAAGGUAAAAAGGGAAAACAAAACAAACCUAUGGAUGAUGGGUGAGCUAAAGCGAAGUAGAUCGGCGCAGGGAAGAUUAUGGUGAAGUAGUAGUGCAAGGCGAACCACAGACGAAGGCAAGAUUCUCUCACAACCUUUUUGAACCGAUGAAUUUGGGAUAAACAAAGUGCAGGCGAGGUUUUCAAAUUUUUUGGGAUUUCAUUUUCCCGCUGGAAACGAAGGAGGAGGGGUUUUUGUAAUUUUUGGGAUGGUUACUUCUCUCAAACAAGUCAUUGGUUUUAAAUUCGAAAAAAU